rnacentral:misc_RNA from 1 species
CUUCCUGCAAAAAUCAUAAUAUACUCGUAGUUAACGGCUAUCAGAAUAUUAAUCUGACCAGUCCAACAACGAGAAUAUUACACUGGCGCAGUCGAGUACGGAACUUUCAAGGAGUUAGAAGCGAGUCAAGCAGUCAACGCGGCGGAUUUCAACUUCUGGGGUCGAGGCGAGCAGUCAAUUCAACGUCAGAGGUCCAGUUCCGGUGCAGCGACUACUAUCAACGUUUCAACUCCACGGAGGCAGCUCACACGAGUCACAGUCGAGGACCGAUCACCCUUGACAACUCCGGAGAGAAAGAACGAGUCAAGCAAGCAGAGACAGACAAAUAGACAGAAUGGCCCAAGCAGUUGGAGCAACAGUAUUGUUUUAUUUAAUAACAGCAAUUCAAAGUCAACUUCCCUAU